rnacentral:rRNA from 1 species
AUUGAACGCUGGCGGCAGGCCUAACACAUGCAAGUCGAGCGGAUGAAGGGAGCUUGCUCCUGGAUUCAGCGGCGGACGGGUGAGUAAUGCCUAGGAAUCUGCCUGGUAGUGGGGGAUAACGUCCGGAAACGGGCGCUAAUACCGCAUACGUCCUGAGGGAGAAAGUGGGGGAUCUUCGGACCUCACGCUAUCAGAUGAGCCUAGGUCGGAUUAGCUAGUUGGUGGGGUAAAGGCCUACCAAGGCGACGAUCCGUAACUGGUCUGAGAGGAUGAUCAGUCACACUGGAACUGAGACACGGUCCAGACUCCUACGGGAGGCAGCAGUGGGGAAUAUUGGACAAUGGGCGAAAGCCUGAUCCAGCCAUGCCGCGUGUGUGAAGAUGGUCUUCGGAUUGUAAAGCACUUUAAGUUGGGAGGAAGGGCAGUAAGUUAAUACCUUGCUGUUUUGACGUUACCAACAGAAUAAGCACCGGCUAUCUUCGUG